AGCCCGCUACGACCUCCGAAAAAAACCAAAACGGUGAAAAAACUGACGUGCCUGAAUGCUUAAUAUCGAUACUUGGCGGCCAUGAAUCGAUUGAAUAUCACCACACAAUUAUACACAAAUAUCGCGAUACUAUGCUGUAUCGAUUUCCUCCCCACGCCUCUAGUGAAUAAAGCUUUGUUUAUGUCGCUGUGCCAAGCCUCCGCGUGCUCCGGGUCCCUGUGGCAGGCUACCCGUGACGUCACAUGGCCAACAGCCAAUCACAGAAUUCAGCUGCUGUUACCAAGCAGACUGUGAAUCCCCUUCCCUCCACUCAGAGCUGAGCUGACUGUUCUCUGAGGACAAACCUGAAAACCAGUUCCAGUUCUCUGCAAACAUCCUGCUCACAGGACGCACUUUGAACUGAGUUAAAGCUUUGUUUUUGUUGCACAGCAAUGAACUUUGGAGUCCCAAAAAAGCUGUUUUUUAUCUUGAGAUAAGAGAAAAAUUAUUUGUAAUAAGAAUGGUUGGAAAAUUUGUUAGGCUAUGUGAUUGAUACUUUUAUUCUCAUCUUCUUAUCACCACAAGUAUUUUAUUUUCCCCUCAAGCUAUAAUUUAAAGAUCACAGAAUACUAUGUUAUUAAAAUUGUAUUACGUUAUAAAAAGAUAUUACUAUGCUGAUUCUCUUUAAGUCACUUUCACCUGCUGCCUGGUUUCCAUCCCAAUGACUUGCAAAUUUUAACCGAAUUUUGAGAAAAUCUGCAAGAGAAAAUGUGACUGAAUGCUCUUUUUCAUCUAGGACUCUUGAUGGUUUUCUUGAUAAUGAUUUUGGUUAUUAUCAAGAAAACCAUGGAAAAUGUCUAGAUAUCAGCUUUUAAAUUAAACUCCUAUGAGCUAUUUUUGUUGUUAUCAUUAUAUUUGUCCAAACAAAUGGACCUUUAGUUGUACCAGGCAUUAAAAUGAACAAGAAAUUGAAGAAAACAAUGGUGGUCUAAUAAUUGUUUCCAUGACUGUCUAUCUAUUUGAUCAAAUAAUCAUCUAGUGAUAUUCCCAAUAGCUUUAAAUCAGUCAUUGACCCAGAAUGUGUAUAUUUUGACACCAAGAUUGACCUUCUAAGUGGCUUGGAAGAUAUAUUGGUUCUCAUUGAUUUUAUAUGGCUGCCAUCUCUGACACCUUGAUGAAUUGGCUCCCAACAAAAAUUGAAACAUAUGGGUGAUGGAGAGCAUGUUAUCCCUUUUUUUUUUUUUUGCUUUAUUUUAACUCUUGCAGGCAAUGUCUUUUAACCCUUUUUGUUUCUUUUACCUUUGUCAAUCCUGUAUUUCAUUGCACUUUUAUGUGAAGCACUUUAGUGCGACUCAGCCGUCUGUAAAUGCGCUAUAGAAAUAAAAUUGACUUGACUUGGUAAAAAUGUA